rnacentral:rRNA from 1 species
UGGGGAAUAUUGCACAAUGGGCGCAAGCCUGAUGCAGCCAUGCCGCGUGUGUGAAGAAGGCCUUCGGGUUGUAAAGCACUUUCAGCGGGGAGGAAGGCGGUGAGGUUAAUAACCUUUGCUCAUUGACGUUACCCGCAGAAGAAGCACCGGCUAACUCCGUGCCAGCAGCCGCGGUAAUACGGAGGGUGCAAGCGUUAAUCGGAAUUACUGGGCGUAAAGCGCACGCAGGCGGUUUGUUAAGUCAGAUGUGAAAUCCCCGGGCUCAACCUGGGAACUGCAUCUGAUACUGGCAAGCUUGAGUCUCGUAGAGGGGGGUAGAAUUCCAGGUGUAGCGGUGAAAUGCGUAGAGAUCUGGAGGAAUACCGGUGGCGAAGGCGGCCCCCUGGACGAAGACUGACGCUCAGGUGCGAAAGCGUGGGGAGCAAACAGG